rnacentral:rRNA from 1 species
UGGGGAAUAUUGCACAAUGGGCGGAAGCCUGAUGCAGCGACGCCGCGUGGGGGAUGAAGGCCUUCGGGUUGUAAACUCCUUUCGACAGGGACGAAGCUUUUGUGACGGUACCUGUAUAAGAAGCACCGGCUAACUACGUGCCAGCAGUCGCGGUAAUACGUAGGGUGCGAGCGUUGUCCGGAAUUACUGGGCGUAAAGAGCUCGUAGGUGGUUUGUCGCGUCGUCUGUGAAAUUCCGGGGCUUAACUCCGGGCGUGCAGGCGAUACGGGCUGACUUGAGUGCUGUAGGGGAGACUGGAAUUCCUGGUGUAGCGGUGAAAUGCGCAGAUAUCAGGAGGAACACCGAUGGCGAAGGCAGGUCUCUGGGCAGUAACUGACGCUGAGGAGCGAAAGCAUGGGUAGCGAACAGGAUUAGAUACCCUGGUAGUCCAUGCCGUAAACGGUGGGCGCUAGGUGUAGGGGGCUUCCACGUCUUCUGUGCCGUAGCUAACGCAUUAAGCGCCCCGCCUGGGGAGUACGGCCGCAAGGCUA